ACGAAGCACUUAAGAACGAUUCUUCGGAUGAAGUCUUUUGUGACUGAGUGGCGGACGGGUGAGUAACGCGUGGGUAACCUGCCUCACACAGGGGGAUAACAGUUGGAAACGACCGCUAAUACCGCAUAAGCCAACAGGGGCGCAUGCUCUGGUUGGAAAAGAUUUAUCGGUGUGAGAUGGACCCGCGUCUGAUUAGCCAGUUGGCAGGGUAACGGCCUACCAAAGCGACGAUCAGUAGCCGGCCUGAGAGGGUGAACGGCCACAUUGGGACUGAGACACGGCCCAAACUCCUACGGGAGGCAGCAGUGGGGAAUAUUGCACAAUGGGGGAAACCCUGAUGCAGCGACGCCGCGUGAGUGAAGAAGUAUUUCGGUAUGUAAAGCUCUAUCAGCAGGGAAGAAAAUGACGGUACCUGACUAAGAAGCCCCGGCUAACUACGUGCCAGCAGCCGCGGUAAUACGUAGGGGGCAAGCGUUAUCCGGAUUUACUGGGUGUAAAGGGAGCGUAGACGGUGAUGCAAGUCAGAAGUGAAAGCCCGGGGCUCAACUCCGGGACUGCAUUGGAAACUGGCAUGCUGGAGUGCCGGAGGGGCAAGCGGAAUUCCUAGUGUAGCGGUGAAAUGCGUAGAUAUUAGGAGGAACACCGGUGGCGAAGGCGGCUUGCUGGACGGUAACUGACGUUGAGGCUCGAAAGCG
rnacentral:rRNA from 1 species